UUGAGGGCUAGAAAAUAUAGAAGCAAGAGGUAAAUAUUAAUAUUGAGAAAUAAGGGCCGUCCAACACAUGCAAGAACUUAAAUAUAUCUCUUGCAAAAAUUAAUAAUGGUGUGGUUGGAUUUGUUAGAAAUUAAGUGGUGCUUUAAUGGCUGCUGCUGAGCUUUCCCUGUAUAUAUAUAUAUGUAUAUAUAUACACACACACACACACACCGACUCCCCAGGCAAUGAAUGACGGCCUUCCCUGCAGUUUUGCGUAAUUGCAAUAUUUACUACAAAUUUCCCAUUCCUACCUUUCCUCUUCCAAUUUAACUCAUUCUCUCUCUCUCUCUCCAACCUCCACUUCUUACCAUAAUUUAAUUGAGCUUUAAAGCAAUCCCAUUGCAUUUCCCUCCUAUAUAUAUACACAUAUAUGAUGGUUUUAAGCCAACACCCUCAGCCACUUCAUGUUGCUGUUGCUGCUGCUACUGCUAAAAGAGGUGGCCACAACCAUCGCAUAGGAGCCGUCGUCGUCGUCGCCGCCGCUCCGACCACCUUCAGGCAUUGAAAGUUAAUUAAAAGAAAGAGAUGAGCCCAAGGAACGGAGCGAAGCUGGAGCUGAAGUUGAACUUGUCUCCACCGAGGGGGCGAGACUCCCCGAGGCGGUCGCCGACCAUGUCCCCGACGAGCUCGUGCGUCUCAUCGGAGGCGAACCAGCAGGACGAGCAGCUCCGGUACUCGACGAGCCCGGAGGCGACGUCGAUGAUGCUGGUGGGAUGCCCCCGGUGCCUCAUGUAUGUGAUGCUGGCGGGGGAGGAUCCCAGGUGCCCCAAAUGCAAGAGCUCUGUUCUGCUCGACAUCAUCCACAACACCGCAACAAAAUCCAACAACACCCAGAAUUCAAGGAAAUCUUAACGAUUCUCUGCUUUUGAGUUCACCUAUUUAAUAAGAUCCAAUUAGAAUGCAGUUAUUUCUAGAGGUAGUUAGCAAGUAGCACUAUUGGUGCUCCGCUUCUCGAUCACUAUGUACAAGGAGGAGUGGAGCCUUAAUAGUGCUACAUUUCUUUCUUUAGUUUUGAUCCAUUUCAAGUUUAAGGUCAUUAUCUGCCUUCUUCA